GUGGAGGGCAUUGGUGGGUGUCCUUUGCAGCAGAGAAGAGGCUAGGGGGUUGGAGGAAGGAGGUUAGGAGAUCCUUGGUGAGCUAGAUGGAGAAGAGGGAGGCUGCGGCAUAGUCUAGGACAUACCUGCAUGAAGAGCUGGAAGCGGCUCUCUUUGCGCUGCUUGGUUUUAAUCAACUCUAAGGCUAUUGACUGAUAGGAACAGAAUUGUGCAGCCACUUGCUGGAGUUCCUCUUGGGCAGGACCAUCAAACUGCAAAGGAAGAAUGAAUAUCCGUCCAAGUUUCCUGGUUAUUCCCUCCUCUGUCAAAGUCCCUAGCCUUGGGUAAUGGGACCUGCCUCCUCCAAUCUCUUCCUUGCCAUAUGGGAACAGUUUGAAGUCAUACCCGAGCCAACAUGAGGUCACUGAUUUCUUUGAUGAUGGGACCCUCAUCCCGAAGCUUCUUCAUGGCUUCACACCAGGAAUCUGGGGUGCUCUGGACCCACGAGUGAAUGGAAAUUGAAGGAAGCAGUGCAGGUUCUCACCAUUGAUGACCUCCUGUCGGUCGAUUUCCCUCUGAGUCAGCCCAGCUACCACAUCCUUGCCCACUGUAUGCUGCCAGUUCUGGGCAUCUGGCUCUGGUUCCAGGCCUGAUGAGAUGCUGACGACAGGGCCUUGUUGCUUUCUUUGAGUCCUGUGGUGUAUCAGCCUUGAGACAGCUGGCAUCGCUCAUCCCUAGCUGCCCCUGGAUGCCCCCCUCUCGCUCCCUCCCGCCAUGGUCCUGCUGGGCUGGUCCUCGCUGACAUUAUUACUAAUUUACAUCCUGCUCUGCUUC